AUUGAACGCUGGCGGCAUGCCUUACACAUGCAAGUCGAACGGCAGCACGGGAGCAAUCCUGGUGGCGAGUGGCGAACGGGUGAGUAAAGUAUCGGAACGUGCCCAGUCGUGGGGGAUAACGUAGCGAAAGUUACGCUAAUACUGCAUACGAUCUAUGGAUGAAAGCGGGGGAUCGCAAGACCUCGCGCGAUUGUAGCGGCCGAUAUCAGAUUGGGUAGUUGGUGGGGUAAAGGCUCACCAAGCCGACGAUCUGUAGCUGGUCUGAGAGGACGACCAGCCACACUGGGACGGAUACACGGCCCAGACUCCUACGGGAGGCAGCAGUGGGGAAGUUUGGACAAUGGGCGAAAGCCUGAUCCAGCCAUGCCGCGUGCAGGAUGAAGGCCUUCGGGUUGUAAACUGCUUUUGUACGGAACGAAAAGGUUUGGCCUAAUAAGCUGAGCUCAUGACGGUACCGUAAGAAUAAGCACCGGCUAACUACGUGCCAGCAGCCGCGGUAAAAC
rnacentral:rRNA from 1 species